CCCGGUCUAGCCUGUGAAACCUAACAACUCCAUUACUUGAGUAAUUCUAGGGGGACCGGAGUUUAGGGACAUUUCUAGUGACCGGCUGAUGUGGCACAGCCACAUCAGCAUGAGAGAGAAAGUGAAAAAAAAAGUCAAUUACCCAGAACAGAGGAAGCCUCUUCUCACUUUGCCAAACAGCUAUGUAUCUCUAGCAUCAAUAUUAUUGUAGUCCAGGACACAACAUUUCUUUCAGACAUUUUAUCAAACAGUUCUCGAGCAUCAUGUAAUAGAUUUAACUUUAAAAAGUAUUUCUUUUCUUGUUUUGAUUUAACAGAAACGAAAGACAAUAAAAAAAACAUAAUUAGCAACAAAAAAAUUAAUAAAAAAAAACACACAGAAAACAUAAAUGAGUGCUUUUCUAUUUUCUGAAACAAUGGAAGUAGAUAGAUCAAAUUAAUUGUACAGCUGAACCAAAUUAAGACAUCUACCUUCCUCUCCCAAUUAAGUAAUCCCUUCCUUUACAAUUCUCAAAGAGUUUGCACAAAAAUUUUACCCAAAAUAAGAGUUUGCACAAAUUUUAGGGUUUUGGGAAUUUAACGGUAUGAGAGUAGUAGGAGGAGGAUACGAAAUGGGAAGAGUGUUAUUUUUGGAGAAAACUUGUUCAGUGAAGCAGGAGUUCUUGUUCAGCUAAGCAGAAGUUCUUGUUCAGUGAUGUUGGAGUUCAAUUUGGCAUCUGGCAUGAGAGAGGAAGAAAGAUAAUAUUGAUGCUAGAGAUACAUAGCUG
rnacentral:lncRNA from 1 species